rnacentral:rRNA from 1 species
AUUGAACGCUGGCGGCAGGCCUAACACAUGCAAGUCGGACGGUAGCACAGAGAGCUUGCUCUCGGGUGACGAGUGGCGGACGGGUGAGUAAUGUCUGGGGAUCUGCCCGAUAGAGGGGGAUAACCACUGGAAACGGUGGCUAAUACCGCAUAACGUCGCAAGACCAAAGAGGGGGACCUUCGGGCCUCUCACUAUCGGCGGAACCAAGAUGGGAUUAGCUAGUAGGCGGGGUAACGGCCCACCUAGGCGACGAUCCCUAGCUGGUCUGAGAGGAUGACCAGCCACACUGGAACUGAGACACGGUCCAGACUCCUACGGGAGGCAGCAGUGGGGAAUAUUGCACAAUGGGCGCAAGCCUGAUGCAGCCAUGCCGCGUGUAUGAAGAAGGCCUUCGGGUUGUAAAGUACUUUCAGCGGGGAGGAAGGCGAUGUGGUUAAUAACCGCAUUGAUUGACGUUACCCGCAGAAGAAGCACCGGCUAACUCCGUGCCAGCCGCCGCAGUAA